GACGGAGGGUGCUAGCGUUGUUCGGAAUCACUGGGCGUAAAGGGCGCGUAGGCGGCCUUGGCAGUCGGCUCGUGAAAGCCCGGGGCUCAACCCCGGAGGUGCGGCCGAUACACCGAGGCUUGAGGCCGGAAGAGGAGGGUGGAAUACCCAGUGUAGAGGUGAAAUUCGUAGAUAUUGGGUGGAACACCGGUGGCGAAAGCGGCUCUCUGGUCCGGACCUGACGCUGAGGCGCGAAAGCGUGGGGAGCAAACAGG
rnacentral:misc_RNA from 1 species